rnacentral:lncRNA from 1 species
GUCCAUGUAGGGCCUGAGAGCUCCCCCUCUUGGCCUCCUGACUCCAAUUUAAUGAGGUUUCUGUUUGUUAAUUUGACAGUGAGGUCCUGCAAGGGCCUGGCAUCCUGGGGUCAGGUAAAGUGCACCAUCCUUUAUCAGCUUUAACUGAGGAGUACCAAUAUCGGUGAAACACAACCUUCAGUCUUGCUAUCUCCUAGGCAAGUGCUGCUGCAAGGGGCACUUUUCCUUUUCACGACUGAAGAGGACAAACCUCAUAGACACCAUGUUGAGCAAAAGGAGUGAGACACAAAGGAAUGAUUACUGCAUGACUCCAUUUAGAAGAAGUUCAAAAACUACCCUAUGGAGAUGGAGGUCAGAGCAGUUGUUUCCCUGGGGAAGCUUGCUGUGUGGUAAAGAACUACCCUUACCCGAAGAGGGGUCCGCCCUUAGAUCCUGGGAGGGGAUCUCUAAACUCCUGGAAUUCCCUGCCUCAUAGGAGUGCCUUUGUUUACCUGGGGGCUGGACUGUGCCACACUGGAUAGUCUAACCUUGUGAUUUGUGGAGGGAGCUUUGAGCUGUGCAAUGUCAGAUGGACCUUUCAAGGGACUGGAGGCUAAGGUCCGCCAGGAAGGGGGUCAACCACGUCUACUUGAAGAAGCCCCUGUGAAGACUCUCUGGACACCGCAGCUUGGACGAGCUUCCCUGGUUGGCAGUCCCUUGGUGCUAUUGUCACACGUCGCUGCUGAGAGAAGUUAGCCCUGUCCACGCUUCCAUGGGGAAAGGACAACUGGAAGCUCCGUGCACGGACCUUUCCUGGGCUCUGCCCUAUACAAUCCUCUGGCUGAUUUUAAUCCAUAUCCUUUGGCUGUAAUACACUGUAACCAUGAGUAUAACAACUUUCAGUAAAUUCUGUGAGUCCUUCUAG